CACAUGCAAGUCGAACGAGCAAGAGAGAGCUUGCUUUCUCGAGCGAGUGGCGAACGGGUGAGUAACGCGUGAGGAACCUGCCUCAAAGAGGGGGACAACAGUUGGAAACGACUGCUAAUACCGCAUAAGCCCACGGUGCCGCAUGGCACAGAGGGAAAAGGAGCAAUCCGCUUUGAGAUGGCCUCGCGUCCGAUUAGCUAGUUGGUGAGGUAACGGCCCACCAAGGCAACGAUCGGUAGCCGGACUGAGAGGUUGAACGGCCACAUUGGGACUGAGACACGGCCCAGACUCCUACGGGAGGCAGCAGUGGGGAAUAUUGCACAAUGGGGGAAACCCUGAUGCAGCGACGCCGCGUGGAGGAAGAAGGUCUUCGGAUUGUAAACUCCUGUUGUUGGGGAAGAUAAUGACGGUACCCAACAAGGAAGUGACGGCUAACUACGUGCCAGCAGCCGCGGUAAAACGUAGGUCACAAGCGUUGUCCGGAAUUACUGGGUGUAAAGGGAGCGCAGGCGGGAAGACAAGUUGGAAGUGAAAUCUAUGGGCUCAACCCAUAAACUGCUUUCAAAACUGUUUUUCUUGAGUAGUGCAGAGGUAGGCGGAAUUCCCGGUGUAGCGGUGGAAUGCGUAGAUAUCGGGAGGAACACCAGUGGCGAAGGCGGCCUACUGGGCACCAACUGACGCUGAGGCUCGAAAGUGUGGGUAGCAAACAGGAUUAGAUACCCUGGUAGUCCACACCGUAAACGAUGAUUACUAGGUGUUGGAGGAUUGACCCCUUCAGUGCCGCAGUUAACACAAUAAGUAAUCCACCUGGGGAGUACGACCGCAAGGUUGAAACUCAAAGGAAUUGACGGGGGCCCGCACAAGCAGUGGAGUAUGUGGUU
rnacentral:rRNA from 1 species